CAAAGGUAAAAUAUUUUUAAGAUAUGGAAAACAUGUUAAAAAGCUGUCUUCUGUCCUUUGUACAGGAACAGUGUGAGUCCUUAUCAAACUCGCCUCCUCCUGCUCUUCUGAAUCAAUUACCGUCCUGUCCUUCGGGGCCCAGAGCAGAUCCCUCCCCUAGGGGCAUCGCCCUUGGUGCCGUGGCCGCCGGGACCUUGGGUGUUGUGGGGGACCCUUCGCCUGGGUCGAGGCCCCCUUUCUUCUGGACCACCCCAGGGCUUCCGUGGCUACCAUGGCCACUGCCUGGGGGUGGUCUACCAGCAGGUUGCGGGAGGACCGCAGUGCAUCCUUCAGACAUAUGAGUGUGGGCCAGAGCUUGGUUGAAAGCCUUCGGUGGAAUAGGCCUUUCGGCCCACCCCAUACAGCACGAGCUGGGGCAUUAGGUCCUCCCCUGCUGGCAGACAUUGGGAGAUCAGGGGGCCUGCUUCCUUCCACAGUCGGGGGCAUGCGGUUGUCCUCGCCAUGCCCCGGGAGUGCAUAACGGCCCUGACCGGGAGGAUCUCAUGGGCGACCAUCCAGGACAGGUCCCGUUGCCGAUUCAGCAGAACAGGAUUGGCCACGUUGCACCAAACCGUUGUGGGCUCACCUAUAGCAAGCCUGCACACUCUAAACACUGGUUCCCACUCCUACACAAGAGAGAGAAGAGAGCUGUGUUUAGUUAAAACCGUGAUUGCCUGUUUUUCCAGUUUAAAAUGUUUUUAAAACUUUUGGAGUUGGACAUAGUGUGUGGGGAGCAGGAAAGAGACUGGGGCUUGCAUGUCAACUGGGAUCAGCCCUAGUCCUGAGGUAUGAUCCCAGCCAGAACCGUGCGAGGGCCUGGGUCUUGUUGUUGACCGGGGAGUUGGCUAGAGUGAGAUGUAAUGCUGUGUAGCAGCGGCCCAAGAACAAGUAGUCAGACAAGACUUUCCCCCUCUUGGACCUGGGCCUCUUAACCACCUACCUCCUCAGCCUCUCCCACUUGCUUCCCUACAGAAAGUAAAAUAGCAUCCACUCCAGAGCUAAAAGAGUUGUAUGUGGGGGGGAUCUAAACAGAACUGAUUCAUAAAAUAUCAUAUUCACUUAAGAUCUCACUUGGUGAAGGUCACAGGACUGAACAGGAAUGAAUGUAACAACCAUGUCUCUGUCACUAGCAAACAGUCAUAAGUGAUACUGGCAACUCUAAAAUUCACUUGGAAGGCACACUGGGAAAUAUGGAAAUAUGUCUCAACACCCUACAGCAUUAAAACAACACCCAAUUGCAAUUAUCAAUGCAGUUCGGUAAAGAACCAUCAUGUUUCUUGUAGAACCUUAUAUUGAUUUGUGUACAGUUCUACAAAGAACCAUCCCAUUUAAGGUUUUGGCAUCGCUCUGAAUAACAUUCCAACCGGAACCUUUAUUUUUAAGAGUGUAGAUGAAUAAGCUACCCUAACCUGUAAUAGUAGGCUGCAGUGGGAAUGUGAAAGUAAAUGAGACUAUAGCCCAUCAGCAUUAUAGGCCUAUGCAACCGCUGCGGGAGGAGUGAAGUCUGUUGUCAUUGUUGUUCUUCUUGUCUCUCUAUACACAGUAUGUCUAUACGUGUUUAUCCUACGAUGGAGGAUGUGGACCAAGAUUUACCAACAGAGUUUGCAAUUUUUCAAAAUCAUGGAAGGUUCAGCAAAUGCGCCCAACUUUGAAAAAAAAGACAUUUGUCAUGACUUCCUCUUUGGACGUUGCUCUCAACAAGCCAAGUGCAUGGGCGUUCAUUCUACUAUGCCAUACCAACGAGAGGUGGAGAAUGGACGUGGCUGGUCACGUAUCCCAGACAAUGAGGGCAUUGAAAGGGACUACUGUGACCCAGCAAACACACAGAGGUAUGUAUGUUCACAACGUGUUGUUAGGAUGCCGUGAGACAAUGGGGAUGUGUAAAAAUGAAAUAAAAGCAUUGAAGAUGUUCCUUUGUCCUACAGUUGCAGGAUACUUUACCCUGUUGCAGGAUACUUUUUGUAGUUAACUUUAUCACCAUGACUCGUGGGCACCGCAAAGUUUGCCGCCUUGCUACGGUUUCCUCCCGGGACCAGCCAGAUGCUGUCUUUGCUACCAAGUGGACCUGGUACUGGGAGGAAAACCAUGGUGGCUGGACUCCAUAUUUGUCACCAGUAUGUAGUGAUGAUACCUAAUUUCUCCCUCUAAUAUGGCACAAAGAAAAUAGGAAUGUGUGUGUGUGUGUGUGUCUCUCCUAAGACUGUGGAGGACCUAGAGAGGGUGUACAUGGAUCCCUCCCGUGGCUCACUGAUUGAGUUUACUGCUGGAAGAUUCACCUAUGAAGUAAAUUUGGAAGGUAGGCAGGUAUCAGAUGUGAUUCAGUAUGGUGUAGGUACAGUACAGUUAAAAUACUGGUCAUAAAAACAGGUUUACGGAACACUAAAGAUUGAACAAUGAAACAUGUUGUCCCAUCUGAAUAUCACAGGAUAGUCAAAUUUCAUUGUUGAUAGGGAGUACCUUGUAUGUUGUGUCUGUAGGUUACUCAUCAAUUUUUGUAUACCUGUUUUAGUCUCUGAACUGAGAAAUAUAUAUUUUUAGUCAUGAUCCAGAUAAAUACAAGCUCACACACCCAAAGACUGGUUAGAAGACGGCCGAUGUUCAAAUCAUCCAUAGAUGUUCAGAGAGCUACUGGGUAAGAGUGAAAUACAGCAAACUCAAUUGAUGAUUGAUUUUCUAGGGGAAGGAUACAACAUUAUGUAAUUAGAUUUUGGUUCACUGAGUAUGAUAUUGGGUCUCUAGAUUUGUAUUAUCUUUGCGGUAUGAUGAGGACCAUGUGUUUGUUGAGGACACUUGGAAUGCCCUCAUUUCUUUCUUAAGCACAUCUAAUACCACCACUUCUUCUGUGCCACAUUUUUGGGACCAGUCUCGGGUGCCUGGGAUUGGCUUUGAGGUAAUACAAAACACUGAGCAUUGUGUCAAUACUCACUGACUGGGAGUCUGACGUUACAUUGAAAUAACAUUGAAGAUGAAUUAGCUUAUGAGGACUUUGUCUUACUGUAAAUCUGUCUUCAGCAAUAAAGUGAUCUGCUGUACCGAUAUUGUGCAGGAAAAAGUAAGAUAAAUGAUUUUGUCUUAGUUAAUGAUCAUACCAGAUGAUGUAAAGCAUGGGUUGGCCAAGUUUUCCAUUCCAAUUUGAAUGGCAAAGCAAAUAUAUAUAUUUUCCAUUAAUGUAUUUUGUAAAUUAGUGUUUAGUUGCAGAUUUAUUUGUUAGAUUAGUAAUGCAUAAUUGACUGUAUGGACACUCCCAAGACCUUAGUAUUGUGUGUCCAAGCAAUAGAAAGUUAAGGCUACUCAACUGUCAGCAGUUGGCAAGGUCAGGGAUGAACUGUGUAUUGUGAUUUGAUAAUAAGGGGUGGCAGGUAGCCUAGUGGUAGAGUGUUGGACUAGUAACAGGAAGGUUGCAAUAUCAAAUCCCCGAGCUGACAAGGUAAAAAUCUGUCGUUCUGCCCCUGAACAGGCAGUUAACCCACUGUUCUUAGGCCGUCAUUGAAAAUAAGAAUUUGUUCUUAACUGACUUGCCUAGUUAAAUAAAGGUAAACUAUAAAGUAGGGAAACUACACAAAUGUAGUUUGAUCAUUUCUUGGGUUCACAGUACAUACAGUACGCUAAUAAACGUUUGCUUGUCAUUUUAUUUUUAUUUUUAAACUAUUUCUUACCUUGACACCAUUACCAACAGUGCUGAAAGAAGAUUUAGUAAUACAACUACCAUGGACUAAAUUCUGGUAAUAGGACCCUGGGUUGUACCAAAUAAGUUUGGAUAUAGGACAGAUGUCAUAAAAUGGUCAAUGUGAAGUUCUGAAAAAUGUUUCAGGAUAAUUUUAACCAACUUUGGAUCUAAAUAGAACUUUGUCAGGUGUGUCCAUUAGUCUCCUCCCAUGCCACCAACAUUUACCUCUCCUCCUUUAGUACCUUUAGGGCCUAUGGUAAUUUCAUGUUGUAUGUUUUAUGAAGAUGAAAAAACAAAUCUCUAUCCAUCAAUCAAGUUGAAUAUGAAACUGAUGUUAUCUUGAAUGUUUGUAAAUGUAAUUUAAGGAAAUACUUUAAUAUUAAACUUCUGAAAACUACAUUUUAAAUCUGAAUAUUGAAAAAAAAUAUAUAUGUGAAUGCAAUAGCCUAGUUAUCAAGUUUGUCGCUAGGAGUUGAACUAUGGUCCUAUGACCUUUUGCCUUGACAAAGACGAGAGGCCAAGAAAAAUGGUAGAAAUGUUAUUCAUACUUGGAAGACAAAAUAAUUCGACAAAAUGUUGCAGGAAUGCUUAUUUGAUCUGUGUUUAAUCUGAGAUGGUUGGUGUCAUGGCUUGCUGAAAUAAAAUGGAAAGACCAUACAUCCAAAUGAUAUUGCGUUUACAUAGGGGUGCAAGUUGUAAACACUCACAAAAGCUCUGAAGAAGGCCUUGGGCCGAUAUGUGAAGCUUAAUAAAAGGGCAGUGAUA